ensembl:lncRNA
AUGCCAAAUAAGGAGAAAAUGGGGGAAAGGAGGAGGAAAAGAGGACCAGUUUUUAAAGUGCAGGCCCAGCUGACAUCCACUUUGGCCAAGGUGAAUAAACACCGUUGUCGUUUGCCUUCAACCUGUCCACGUCUUAUUCGGUCCUUUGGAGUUUGGCAUGCCGGGGCCAUGAACCCACGGUUUUUGCAGAGCUGAAAUCACUUGACAGAGACAUGGCAAUUAAGGUAGUCUCAAACUGAUAUACCGUGUUUCCCCGGAAAUAAGACAGUGUCCUAUAUUAAUUUUUGCUCCCAAAGAUAUGCUAGGUUUUAUUUUCAGGGGAUGUCUUAUUUUUCUAUGAAGAAGAAUUCACAUUUCUUGUUGUACAAAAAAAUGAACAUUUAUUAUAUACUGUACAGCAGUUGUCAUCACAAACCAGGACAACCAGAAAAACUGUGAAUCCUAUCAAGGAUUUCUUGUUACUACCAUUAUUUCCAUAUUUACCGAUCCUGCAUGCUCUGGUGUUCUGUUCGGUGGGCAUGCUUCCAAACAAAAACUUUGCUGGGUCUUACUUUCGGGGGAGGCCUUAUAUUUAGCAAUUCAGCAAAACCACUACUAGGUCUUAUUUUCUGGGGAUGUCUUAUUUUAGGGGAAACAGGGUAACUGUGUGUUAGUGCUUAAAUCUCAUUUUUGAUGCUUACUAGAGUUGAGAUUCUGAAUCAGAUUUGCCAAUGUGAUGAUUCCCUAUUUAACAAGUGAUUCAAUGGGUCUACUCUGGUUAAACCAAUGAAAAGGAUACCAGCUUCUAUGGAAGCAUCUACACUAUAAAUGUAAUGCAGAUUGACAUGACAUUAAGUGUCAUGGUUCAAUGCAAUGAAAUCAUGGGAAUUGUGGUUUUAAACGGACAUUUGCCUUCUGUGCCAACAAUUUGUGCUUGAUCAAAUUGCAAUUCCCAGAAUCCUGUAGCAUUGAGCCAUGGCCGUUAAAAUGAGGUCAAACUGCAUUAAGUCUACAAUGCAAAACCAAUUUUCAGAGCCUUGUGUGAUAAUGUCCACAGUUUUUGAUGACUUUCUCUAAGGGAAGAGAAAAUGGUAGCACGUUUCCUCUUUGCCUGUAAGAAUGAAAUACAUUCCUACCAGAAAAUUAAAAUACUGUACAGACCUCUCUUUUCCAUGUCCCAUAACCAAGCCAUCUCUAUAUGACUUUGUAAGAAUAUGCAUUGUUUCCCCAUAGAUUUGUCUUUCAUAGAAGAUACAUGUUUUAACAAUUGCUGCAUUUUUGUUAAAUUAUUUCCCAGGUGGGUGGAUAAUAUGCUUUCUGGUUUUGUUAGGCCGUCUUUCUAACACUCCCUCUUCAUUUAUUUUCUUUCUUUUUCAGUCCUAAAAAAACUGAAGAGUGUGGGAAAAAUGAAUUUGCCUGCGUUCAGAGAGAAGAAAAUCUGUCCUUGUCUCUCUCCCAUGUACAUAAACACAACCCACGCUGUCUACCCAUUUCUCACUUUUCUUCUCCAAGCGUAAUGGUACAAGUUCUUCCCUCUUUGCCUUCCUCUCUACUUUAAUGAAGCUUUGCAUCUGAGAAUGGAUCUACAUUGCUAUAUAAUGCAGAUUGAAACUGAAAUCAGGCCCCAUCACCCAUAACCCAGUUUAGCUAACUUCAGCCGGCAACCUUUGGCCUGAAUCUACCAGUUGUAUAAAACGCGUACACACAUAUCAGGGCAAAUCCCAUAAUUCCUCUAGGCAGUACACAUAAUUCCCUCACAAAAACUCAAUGUACCUAACAAUGGAUUCAGACCGAAAGAUCAUUGAAGUUAUCCAGUGCUCUGCUAGGCCCUUUUCCUGGGAACUCAUUCAAAACAUGCCAACAUCCUCUGCUACCCAUUGUUUAGCCAGUCAAGAUCCAUUGUACAACUCCAGGUAGACAGGAAUGAAGCCAUUAGCACCAAUUAACUUGAACAACAACUAGAAAAAUUUAUUUAUAUACUGGAAAGGACUCAGAGUGGUUUCCAACAUAAGUAAGCAUUCAAUACCACAUAGAAAACAUGCAACACCACUGUAAUAAAAACAUAAACAUAAUACAAGGGUUAUCCAGAAAGUAGAUUAUGUUUUGGAAUUAAAAAUGAACAAAGUAUAGGAGAAAACAUUUACCAUAUGCAGUUGAAAACCACACCCAAAUACCACUUCUCAAAAUAGUCCCCACUGAAAUCUAGGCACUUAUCAUAGCGAUGAAUGAGCUUGGCAACUCCUUCCCCACAAAACUCUGCCGCUUGCAUCCUCAACCAGCCGGUCACCCCUACCCGCAGCUACCCAUCGUCGCUAAAACGCUUAUCAUAGCGACCGUUUUUUGGGGCAGGAAAGGUGUGCUUCUUGCAAAACCUUAGAAGAGCGAUCCAGGACGAGCGUGGGGGAAAGUUGAGCGCAUGCACAUGCGCAGCUGUGGGAACAGAUGCCCGCCUGGUUGAGCCAAGUGGCAAAGUUUGGUGGGAAAGAACUUUCCAAACUCUUUUAUUGCUAUGAUAAGUGCCUAGAUUUCAAUGGCGACUAUGUUGAGAAGUAGUAUUUGGGCGUGGCUUUCAACUGCACAUGGUAAAUGUUUUCUCCUAUACUUUGUUCAUUUUAAAUUCCAAAACGUAAUCUACUUUCUGGAUAACCCUCGUAAUAAUUAAAAACAAAUAUAUUCAUUUAAAAUAAAACCAGUUUCAGGACUACUCCAUUGGAUGAUAUUCGGCUACCAAUGGACAGAAUUCCAGGUUGCUUUCAUGUCAGGUGGGUUUUUGUACCAGGAGGGCCCUUACUGUUAUGGGCUCUUGGAGUACCAAAAGUACUGAAAGAAACGGAGGAAACAGAAGAAACAAAUUCUGCACAUAAAAGUCUACACUGACCCUAUAAUGCGGUUUCAAACUUGUCUUAUCUGGCUAUUGGUGAUAAAGAGAACAUGUUAUUUGUUUUUCUCUUAGAGACAAACUUGCCAUUAAAAUAAAGAAAAUAAAAGAGACUAUCUCCAUUUCCAACACCAUCCCAUUUUUGCACAAAUAAUUUUACACAACCACACUGGAGGAUGAGAAAUAACAGCUGAGCUGAAUUCAUUUUGCAAGACAAUUAGCAUCUGGGAAAUAAAUCCUCUUAUCUGUUCACCUUUUCUUAAUUGCAAAUGCACUGAGGGAUAUGAAUAGAAUCAGAUAUCUGGUGUAUAAUCAGAGGUCCUAAAUCCGAAAUAAAUGUGUACAUGGCAAACAAGUCCCUGGGUUGACUUGCUCUAUUUAAGACCCAAAACAAAAUACAGUCUGUUCUCCAUAUCAAUUGAUUCUGCAUCCACAGAUUCAAAUAUCCACGGUUUGACAAUAUUUUAAAAUGGAAAACACUCCUUAUUAUAUAGUGGGGAAUUCUGAGUGUUAUAGUCAUACAAAAGUUAUUUUUCCAAGCUCUGUCUAGAUGGAGCAGUGUUUCAGUUUAUUCAUUCACCAUUUCAUGCUAUUCAGUUGGCUCUCCAUAUUCACAUAUUCAAACAUAAAAAGCUUAUAAAUAUUCCUAUAAAAAUAUCCUCAAAGGAAACCUUGAUUUUGUUAUUUUCUAUCAAGGACACCAUUUUACUAUACCAUUUUAUAUAAUGAGGCUUAAGCAUUUAUGGACUUUGGUAUCCAUAGGG